GCAAUAUAUACUGUGAAACUGCGAAUGGCUCAUUAAAUCAGUUAUCGUUUAUUUGAUAGUACCUUACUACAUGGAUAACCGUGGUAAUUCUAGAGCUAAUACAUGCUAAAAACCCCGACUUCGGAAGGGGUGUAUUUAUUAGAUAAAAAACCAAUGCCCUUCGGGGCUCCUUGGUGAAUCAUAAUAACUUAACGAAUCGCAUGGCCUUGCGCCGGCGAUGGUUCAUUCAAAUUUCUGCCCUAUCAACUUUCGAUGGUAGGAUAGUGGCCUACCAUGGUAUCAACGGGUAACGGGGAAUUAGGGUUCGAUUCCGGAGAGGGAGCCUGAGAAACGGCUACCACAUCCAAGGAAGGCAGCAGGCGCGCAAAUUACCCAAUCCCGACACGGGGAGGUAGUGACAAUAAAUACUGAUACAGGGCUCUUAUGGGUCUUGUAAUUGGAAUGAGUACAAUUUAAAUCCCUUAACGAGGAACAAUUGGAGGGCAAGUCUGGUGCCAGCAGCCGCGGUAAUUCCAGCUCCAAUAGCGUAUAUUAAAGUUGUUGCAGUUAAAAAGCUCGUAGUUGAACCUUGGGCCUGGCUGGCCGGUCCGCCUCACCGCGUGUACUGGUCCGGCCGGGCCUUUCCUUCUGGGGAUCCGCAUGCCCUUCACUGGGCGUGUCGGGGAACCAGGACUUUUACUUUGAAAAAAUUAGAGUGUUCAAAGCAGGCCUUUGCUCGAAUACAUUAGCAUGGAAUAAUAGAAUAGGACGUGCGGUUCUAUUUUGUUGGUUUCUAGGACCGCCGUAAUGAUUAAUAGGGAUAGUCGGGGACAUCAGUAUUCAAUUGUCAGAGGUGAAAUUCUUGGAUUUAUUGAAGACUAACUACUGCGAAAGCAUUUGUCAAGGAUGUUUUCAUUAAUCAGUGAACGAAAGUUAGGGGAUCGAAGACGAUCAGAUACCGUCGUAGUCUUAACCAUAAACUAUGCCGACUAGGGAUCGGGCGAUGUUACUAUUUUGACUCGCUCGGCACCUUACGAGAAAUCAAA
rnacentral:rRNA from 1 species